AACUGGGUAGCCUAGUGGUUAAAGGCAGAACUUCUAGCCCAGUGAGCUUGUGAUGAGCUUCCAGGUUCAAAUCCUGGUCUAGUCA
rnacentral:tRNA from 1 species